CCCGAGUUCAAAUCAAGUCUGGCACUUAAGUUAGCAAAAGGAACUACCUCUCCUCCUUGCCAAAUAUAUCUAUAGAUUCCUCCCAGUUUUAAGUUUUGAAAAUUAUGCUCUCCCAUUCCUGGGCCAAAUUGUCUGUUCCGAAAAAGGAGUAGAAUAAAGAGCUCAAAUUAUGGCAAUGAUAGAUUCAGGAAAACCCCAAGACUGCAAUAGAUAAAAUAAAUAUGGCCAGGCAACCCUAUCAAAUACCUUCUCUGUGUCAAGUGAUAGGAGCAUCGAUGGCAGCCUCUUUGUCUCUAUAAGCCAUGCAAGAUCUACGGCUCUACAAGUAUUCUCAUAUAGCUACCUUCCAGGAAUAAAACCUACCUGGUCUGGGUGAAUCAAAAUGGGGAGCAGAGGAGAUAGGCGUAAAGCUAAGACCUUUGCUACUAUUUUUGUGUCCACAUUUAUUAGGGAAAUGGGUCUAUAAUUCCCAACUGCCGUAGAAUCUUUAUCCUUUUUCGGUAGGAGAAUGAUUUUAGCCAUAGUCAGG